rnacentral:rRNA from 1 species
UACGUAGGGUGCAAGCGUUUGUCCGGAAUUAUUGGGCGUAAAGAGCUCGUAGGCGGUCUGUCGCGUCGGCUGUGAAAACUCGGGCUCAACCCCGAGCCUGCAGUCGAUACGGGCAGGCUAGAGUUCGGUAGGGGAGACUGGAAUUCCUGGUGUAGCGGUGAAAUGCGCAGAGUAUCAGGAGGAACACCGGUGGCGAAGGCGGGUCUCCUGGGCCGAUACUGACGCUGGAGGAGCGAAAGCGUGGGGAGCAAACAGGA